rnacentral:rRNA from 1 species
GGCGGCAGCUACCAUGCAGUCGAGCGGUAGAGAGAAGCUUGCUUCUCUUGAGAGCGGCGGACGGGUGAGUAAUGCCUAGGAAUCUGCCUGGUAGUGGGGGAUAACGCUCGGAAACGGACGCUAAUACCGCAUACGUCCUACGGGAGAAAGCAGGGGACCUUCGGGCCUUGCGCUAUCAGAUGAGCCUAGGUCGGAUUAGCUAGUUGGUGAGGUAAUGGCUCACCAAGGCGACGAUCCGUAACUGGUCUGAGAGGAUGAUCAGUCACACUGGAACUGAGACACGGUCCAGACUCCUACGGGAGGCAGCAGUGGGGAAUAUUGGACAAUGGGCGAAAGCCUGAUCCAGCCAUGCCGCGUGUGUGAAGAAGGUCUUCGGAUUGUAAAGCACUUUAAGUUGGGAGGAAGGGCAUUAACCUAAUACGUUGGUGUCUUGACGUUACCGACAGAAUAAGCACCGGCUAACUCUGUGCCAGCAGCCGCGGUAAUACAGAGGGUGCAAGCGUUAAUCGGAAUUACUGGGCGUAAAGCGCGCGUAGGUGGUUCGUUAAGUUGGAUGUGAAAUCCCCGGGCUCAACCUGGGAACUGCAUUCAAAACUGACGAGCUAGAGUAUGGUAGAGGGUGGUGGAAUUUCCUGUGUAGCGGUGAAAUGCGUAGAUAUAGGAAGGAACACCAGUGGCGAAGGCGACCACCUGGACUGAUACUGACACUGAGGUGCGAAAGCGUGGGGAGCAAACAGGAUUAGAUACCCUGGUAGUCCACGCCGUAAACGAUGUCAACUAGCCGUUGGGAGCCUUGAGCUCUUAGUGGCGCAGCUAACGCAUUAAGUUGACCGCCUGGGGAGUACGGCCGCAAGGUUAAACUCAGA